CAAAACACUCCACUGGCAGAGUUGUGUUUGGGAACAGAGGUCCUACUUUCAUUUGCUGCUGAUGCAUUUGUUUAUAUCUAAUUGGCUUUAUUAGUCCAGGAGCUCAUAAUCACGAGUACUUGUGCCCAGGUUGCCUGAUACUUGUGCUCACCCACUGGGGUCAAAUAUAAUCACCAUCUCCCUUUGAUUACCAUAAACAUUUGAUAACCUGGCAGUUGGAGAGGUUUUAUCACUGUUCUCCAGGGAACUUGUUCCUCUGGCUCAGGAACACCCAGCUAAUGUCAAGGAGAUAAUUUCUAUGGAGAAGCUUAUCCUGUUUGUACAGGACAAGUCUUGGGACUAUAGAGUUACCAGGGCUUGUUGGCAGGACAAAGAAUGGCAACUGAGCGGAGAUGCCUGUUCCAGAUUGACACCCGGUGGAUGCUGCUGCUGUAAUCAGCACCGAGGAGCAUUUAUCACCUCCUCAGACCCUAAUGUGGGGAGCAGGACAUGGAAGAUUCUGCCUGUGGAUUUAAUACCAAAGACAGUGAAAUUCUCAGUGAGAGACAGAAGCUCCCUCACAGCACAGGCGGCUGCUACUCCUGAAGCUUCCCCACAUUCAUGUAAUAAAUAAAUAAUCACACCUUUUCUGCUGUCAAAGCUGAAAGCAUGCACAGCUGUGUGCCACA
rnacentral:lncRNA from 1 species